CAUAGCUCAGCAGGCAGAGCACAGGAUUGGCAUGCCUGAGGCUCCAGGUUCAAGCCCUGGUG
rnacentral:tRNA from 1 species